GAGUUUGAUCGUGGCUCAGGACGAACGCUGGCGGCGUGCCUAAUACAUGCAAGUCGAGCGAGGGUUUUCGGACCCUAGCGGCGGACGGGUGAGUAACACGUAGGCAACCUGCCUCUCAGACCGGGAUAACAUAGGGAAACUUAUGCUAAUACCGGAUAGGUUUUUGGAUUGCAUGAUCCGAAAAGAAAAGAUGGCUUUUUGCUGUCACUGGGAGAUGGGCCUGCGGCGCAUUAGCUAGUUGGUGGGUAACGG
rnacentral:rRNA from 1 species